GCUGUCCUCGCGUUCCGGGACACUGCGCCCUUCUGGCGGCCCUCUCCCGGAGCAGCCCCACAGGGCGCGCACAGAAGGCGCCUCCCAUUUCCGCGAGCUCUGCUGGGUGACCCCUGUCACUCUCCCCUACGCAUCGGGCUCUCUGCCUUGCUGCGUGCGGGAUGUGCAGAGGCUCGGAUGCGGGACAGAGGCAGAAAAUCGCUGUAGAGGCCUCGCGGGAUCCGUCUUGCGGUGACCCGGCUUGGAACGCGACCCUACCACAAAGGACAGGCCAGAUGCCAGAUGGAGAGCAGUGUUCCCUUCACACUUCGGUUCUGUAAAUGGCAGUGGAUGAAGACCACAGGCGCUACUAGGUUCACAGGAUGCUGCCACCAGGAUUCUCCAAAGACUCCCCCUGGCAAAUGCCAGUGAAAUGGAGGGGAGCCACAUGGUUCCCAGAGGCUCAAGAAGCAGAAACACUGAGGCCUGCUGGGAAAGGGAAAGCUGUAGGCAAAGGAAUGGCUGCAAACAAACUGGGUGGAAGGAAACUCCAUCUAUCCUUCAGAA